AAAACGUUAUUUUCCAGCGUCGGAGAUGACAACUACAGAUAAAGCACCAGAGAUAACCACUACAGAUGCACCAGAGAUAACCACCACAGACGGUAAGUUUGGCAUUGAUUUUACUUAGUCUUACACUUUUGUUUUCAAUCUAUCUGAUCCUUUGUAAUUUUCCGUUUUCAGCACCAGAGAUAACUACUACAGAUAGUACGUUUGACAUCGAUAUUAUAGUCCGGUCUGUUAGGUCGAAAAUCGUGACAAAUCGGGCAAAUUAGGCACAGAUGUUCCUUUUGACAUAAAAAACGAAUUUAGAAGGGGUGCUACGUAAUAUGGCUUUCGGGGGGGUGGAGCAUGACGCCCAUAGAAAUUACGCAAUACUCAAACGGUGGUAUAAAAGCGAGGCUGUAGCAUUUAAUGUGUUUAUUACGUACCAGUUUUAACGAAUGCCGUUGUAAAAUGACUAAACUACAUUACUCAGACUCAGUAUUGUGUUUGUGUCCAAAACAAGUCAUUUGCCUUAAUCACGUGACAUUCUUAUAAUGCUUUGAGC